GUUGGCUUAGAAGCAGCCAUCAUUUAAAGAAAGCGUAAUAGCUCACUGGUCGAGUCGGCCUGCGCGGAAGAUGUAACGGGGCUAAACCAUGCACCGAAGCUGCGGCAGCGAACGUAUCACUUAAAGCGAUUCAGCGGGUUACGAUUGACGGAGCGAAGCGACGUCAAAGCGUAUACAAAGUCGAGUCGGUUUAAGGAUACGUUCGUUGGGUAGGGGAGCGUUCUGUAAGCCUGCGAAGGUGGCCUGUGAGGGUUGCUGGAGGUAUCAGAAGUGCGAAUGCUGACAUAAGUAACGAUAAAGCGGGUGAAAAGCCCGCUCGCCGGAAGACCAAGGGUUCCUGUCCAA
rnacentral:rRNA from 1 species